CAUGCUCAUUAUGACAAACUUAUUAUCAUACACUCUCUCUUUGCUCCCAGCGGAGGCCUGUCAGUGUCCAGCUGGACAUCUCUUCAAGUAUGUCUGCCUGUAAUGGAUUCAAUGAUUGAUGAUGAUAGCAAUUCGUCAUAAGUAACAUCUGCAUGUUUCUACAGUCAAACAUUUUUUUUCUUCUUCUUAGAUCAUGAAACAAACUUCAAACUACCCACUCAUUCUUUUCCUUAUCAAUCUGGAAAGAUUAUUGAAAUGCUAGAGCAGAAUUAUGUAGAUGCGUGCCAUGAGGCAGAAGAUGAGAUGGAGACGAACCUGAAUUAGACUCCUCAAUGAUCAUUCCGGAGAGAAUAUGUAUUUACGUCGAUGCUUUGGUAAUAACCGGAUCUUUCAAAGUACAGUAAAAAAAAAAAAAAACCGUCAAUUUUGAAUAA